rnacentral:misc_RNA from 1 species
UCUCCUUCUCCUCAUUGCUGCGAAAGUUCAAAUCUCGCUGGACAGUAAGUUGUCUUCUUUUUUCUCCUUCUCUUCUAGUCUGCGACUGUGUGGCAUGUAGGUUUUGAUCGCAACUUUACUUUGGCGCAAUUUUUAGUUUUAAGCACUUUUUUUUAAGAAACGCAUUUGGAAACAUAUUUUUAAAAAGAAAGAGAAAAAAUAAGAAGUAAUGAAUAUGAUUUUCUUCUUCUUCUCUUGAAUUUUGUAUUGAGUAUAGUAAAAUGGGAUCGCUUGAUUUAAAGACUCAUAACGCAUUCCCAAGCGAUUUGGGAUGCAAAUAUUUCACGUUUUGGAAUGCAAAUUAUUGGUCGCGAAACCGAGGGGGUUAGGAGAAUCCGGCAACUAUGGUUUGGCACCUAGACAAUGUGGCACUUUUAUGUAGUAAUUGUUCACAUGAAUAGAUGAACUUGAGAUGCAUUUGAAUGAAGUUGCAUUUAAUUUAUUUAAUUUCUUAGGACACAUGAUUUAGAAAUCUUCAGAAUUGUUACAAAAUGCAUCCUGCUUUCAGAAAGUUAGUACUGCUGAAGAAAGAUCACCUUCAAUUUUAUCUUAACUCAUCGAAUUCAAGGCGAGGGAUCCAUUCCUCUUUGAUCACGUAGUCAAUCUCCUUGGCAAUUGAAUCAUCAGAAAGUGGAGGAAGGUAGGACAAAGUCUCAUACUUCUUGUUAUUGAUUGGGUUCCAUGUCUAUUUGAUGAAAAAUCCAAUCUUCAAAUAUCACAUAUUUUCCCAAAAUAUAUUUGAUUAUCUUGAAAAUCAAUUACUUAGAA